rnacentral:rRNA from 1 species
CGUCAGAUGUGUAUAAGAGACAGAACCAUGGCCAGUGUGAAGCUUAGGUAACACUAAGUGGAGGCACGAACCGACUGAUGUUGAAAAAUCAGCGGAUGAGUUGUGGUUAGGGGUGAAAUGCCAAUCGAAUUCGGAGCUAGCUGGUUCUCCCCGAAAUGUGUUUAGGCGCAGCGGUUAGUGUUAUAGCAUAGGGGUAAAGCACUGUUUCGGUGCGGGCUGGUAAUUCGGUACCAAAUCGAGGCAAACUCUGAAUACUAUGUGUACAACUAACCAGUAAGACUACGAGGGAUAAGCUUCAUAGUCAAGAGGGAAACAGCCCAGAUCACCAGCUAAGGCCCCUAAAUAAUUGCUAAGUGAUAAAGGAGGUGGGAAUGCGUAGACAACCAGGAGGUUUGCUUAGAAGCAGCAAUCCUUUAAAAAGUGCGUAAUAGCUUACUGGUCUAGCAAUUCUGCGCCGAAAAUUUACGGGACUAAGCAAUUUGCCGAAGCUGUGAGAUAUACAUUAUGUAUAUCGGUAGGGGAGCGUUCCAUGUUAGGAUGAAGUAGUAGCGUAAGCGGCUAUGGACGAAAUGGAAGUGAGAAUGUCGGAUUGAGUAGCGAAAACAUUGGUGAGAAUCCAAUGCUCCGAAACCCUAAGGUUUCCUCCGCAAGGCUCGUCCACGGAGGGUGAGUCAGGUCCUAAGAUGAGGCUGAGAAGCGUAGUUGAUGGACAACAGGUUAAUAUUCCUGUACUGAUUAUUACUGGUAUCGAGGGACGAAGAAGGCUAAACUAGCCAGAUAUUGGUUACUGGUUUAAGUAUACGAGGUGUUGAAGAUUAGAGAAAAUGAUCUGAGCUAAGGUACGAAUACAAGAUUAAGAAAUCAAAGUAGUUGAUGUCAUACUUCCAAGAAAAGCUCGCAAUGCCAUAAGCAAUAAUCACCUGUACCCUAAACCGACACAGGUAGGGAGGUAGAGAAUACCAAGGAGCGCGGGAGAACCCUCCUUAAGGAACUCGGCAAAAUAACUCUGUAACUUCGGGAGAAAGAGUGCCCAUUGGGCUGCAAUAUCAAGUUCCAAGCAACUGUUUAGCAAAAACACAGGUCUCCGCUAAGUUGUAAAACGACGUAUGGGGGCUGACACCUGCCCAGUGCCAGAAGGUUAAAGAAGUUGGUCAAUCUUUGAUGAAGCUAACAACUGAAGCCCUGGUGAACGGCGGCAGUAACUAUAACUGUCCUAAGGUAGCGAAAUUCCUUGUCGGGUAAGUUCCGACCCGCACGAAAGGUGUAACGAUCUGGAUACUGUCUCAGAGAGAGACUCGGUGAAAUAAAACUAUCUGUGAAGAUGCGGAUUACCUGCACACGGACAGAAAGACCCUAUGAAGCUUUACUGUAACCUGGAAUUGCUUUCAAGCUUAUUUUGCGCAGCUUAGGUGGGAGGCUACGAACCUUUUCUUCCGGGAAGAGGGGAGCCAUCAGUGAGAUACCACUCUUGGUAAGCUAGAAAGCUCAGUCUUAACCGUUAUCCGGUAAGACGACAGUUUCAGGCGGGCAGUUUGACUGGGGCAGUCACCUCCCAAAAGGUAAUGGAGGUGCACAAAGGUUCCCUCAGGUUGGACGGAAAUCAACCAUAGAGUGUAAAAGCAUAAGAGAGCUUGACUGCGAGACGGACAUGUCAAGCAGAGACGAAAGUCGGUUUUAGUGAUCCGACGGUGCUGAGUGGAAAGGCCGUCGCUCAACGGAUAAAAGUUACUCUAGGGAUAACAGGCUGAUCUCCCCCAAGAGUUCACAUCGACGGGGAGGUUUGGCACCUCGAUGUCGGCUCAUCGCAUCCUGGAGCGGAAGUACGUUCCAAGGGUUGGGCUGUUCGCCCAUAGAAAGCGGUACGCGAGCUGGGUUCAGAACGUCGUGAGACAGUUUGGUCCAUAUCCUGUGUAGGCGUUUAGAGCAUUGAAAGGAUCUCCCCUUUGUACGAGAGGACCAGGUGGGGACAGACCUCUAGUGUACCAGUUAUUCCGCCAGGGGUAAACGCUGGGUAGCUAUGUCUGGAGUAAAUAACUGCUGAAAGCAUAUAAGUAGGAAGUUCACCUUAAGAUGAGUGCUCUUUUGUCAGCAAUGCCACUUUGGCAUGCAACUAAGACAAGCAAGGUCACGGCAAGACUAGCCGUUUGAUAGGCAUGAUGUAGAAGUACAGCAAUGUAUUCUGAAGCUGACAUGUCCUAAUAGACCGAGAGAUUUGAUUUU